GACGAACGCUGGCGGCGUGCCUAACACAUGCAAGUCGAGCGGAAAGGCCCUGCUUUUGUGGGGUGCUCGAGUGGCGAACGGGUGAGUAACACGUGAGUAACCUGCCCUUGACUUUGGGAUAACUUCAGGAAACUGGGGCUAAUACCGGAUAGGAGCUCCUGCUGCAUGGUGGGGGUUGGAAAGUUUCGGCGGUUGGGGAUGGACUCGCGGCUUAUCAGCUUGUUGGUGGGGUAGUGGCUUACCAAGGCUUUGACGGGUAGCCGGCCUGAGAGGGUGACCGGCCACAUUGGGACUGAGAUACGGCCCAGACUCCUACGGGAGGCAGCAGUGGGGAAUAUUGCACAAUGGGCGGAAGCCUGAUGCAGCAACGCCGCGUGCGGGAUGACGGCCUUCGGGUUGUAAACCGCUUUCGCCUGUGACGAAGCGUGAGUGACGGUAAUGGGUAAAGAAGCACCGGCUAACUACGUG
rnacentral:rRNA from 1 species